AGCCAUAUGCUUGUCUUAAAGAUUAAGCCAUGCAUGUCUAAGAAUAAGUCCAUGAAUGACAAAUCUGCGAAUGGCUCAUUAAAUCAGUUAUAGUUUAUUUGAUGGUCUGCAGCUGCUGGAUAACCGCAGUAAUACUGGAGCUAAUACAUGACACUAUGCCCGACUUGUUGGAGGGCAGUGUUUAUUAGAUAUGUGAGCUGACUUUAGUUGGUGAAUCUUAGUAAAUGGUAUCGGACUGAGCCUUUGUGGCUUGGUGGAUCAUUCAAGUUUCUGCCCUAUCAACUUUCGAUGGUAAGGUAUUGGCUUACCAUGGUGACCACGGGUAACGGGGGAUUAGGGUUCGAUUCCGGAGAGGGAGCCUGAGAAAUGGCUACCACUUCCAAGGAAGGCAGCAGGCGCGCAAAUUACCCAAUCCUGACAUAGGGAGGUAGUGACAAUACAUACUAAUGCGGGGCCGCAAGGCUUUGCAAUUGGAAUGAGUACAACUUAAACCUGUUAACGAGAAUCCAU
rnacentral:rRNA from 1 species